rnacentral:rRNA from 1 species
AACGAACGCUGGCGGCAUGCCUAACACAUGCAAGUCGAACGAGACCUUCGGGUCUAGUGGCGCACGGGUGCGUAACGCGUGGGAAUCUGCCCUUGGGUUCGGAAUAACUUCAGGAAACUGAAGCUAAUACCGGAUGAUGACGUAAGUCCAAAGAUUUAUCGCCCAAGGAUGAGCCCGCGUAGGAUUAGCUAGUUGGUGAGGUAAAGGCUCACCAAGGCGACGAUCCUUAGCUGGUCUGAGAGGAUGAUCAGCCACACUGGGACUGAGACACGGCCCAGACUCCUACGGGAGGCAGCAGUGGGGAAUAUUGGACAAUGGGCGAAAGCCUGAUCCAGCAAUGCCGCGUGAGUGAUGAAGGCCUUAGGGUUGUAAAGCUCUUUACCCGGGAUGAGUAAUGUCAGUACCGGGAGAAUAAGCUCCGGCUAACUACCGUGCCAGCAGCCGCGGUAAAGUGAC